rnacentral:rRNA from 1 species
AGAGUUUGAUCCUGGCUCAGAACGAACGCUGGCGGCAGGCUUAACACAUGCAAGUCGAGCGCCCCGCAAGGGGAGCGGCAGACGGGUGAGUAACGCGUGGGAACGUACCAUUUGCUACGGAAUAACUCAGGGAAACUUGUGCUAAUACCGUAUGUGCCCGAAAGGGGAAAGAUUUAUCGGCAAAUGAUCGGCCCGCGUUGGAUUAGCUAGUUGGUGGGGUAAAGGCCUACCAAGGCGACGAUCCAUAGCUGGUCUGAGAGGAUGAUCAGCCACACUGGGACUGAGACACGGCCCAGACUCCUACGGGAGGCAGCAGUGGGGAAUAUUGGACAAUGGGCGCAAGCCUGAUCCAGCCAUGCCGCGUGAGUGAUGAAGGCCCUAGGGUUGUAAAGCUCUUUCACCGGUGAAGAUAAUGACGGUAACCGGAGAAGAAGCCCCGGCUAACUUCGUGCCAGCAGCCGCGGUAAUACGAAGGGGGCUAGCGUUGUUCGGAUUUACUGGGCGUAAAGCGCACGUAGGCGGGCUAAUAAGUCAGGGGUGAAAUCCCGGGGCUCAACCCCGGAACUGCCUUUGAUACUGUUAGUCUUGAGUAUGGUAGAGGUGAGUGGAAUUCCGAGUGUAGAGGUGAAAUUCGUAGAUAUUCGGAGGAACACCAGUGGCGAAGGCGGCUCACUGGACCAUUACUGACGCUGAGGUGCGAAAGCGUGGGGAGCAACAGGAUUAGAUACCCNNGUAGUCC